UCCCUGGAGGACUAGUGGCUAGCCCACAGCGCUUUCACCGCUCCAGCCCAGGUUCAAUUCCCAGCCAGGGAA